AACUAACGCUGGCGGCGUGCCUAACACAUGCAAGUCGUACGAGAAAGUUGGCUUCGGCCGAUGAGUACAGUGGCGCACGGGUGAGUAACGCGUGGAUAAUCUGCCCUUAAGUGUGGAAUAACGUACCGAAAGGUGCGCUAAUACCGCAUAAUGCCUGGCAACAUAAGUUGUCCGGCCAAAGAAGGCCUCUGCUUGCAAGCUUUCGCUAAAGGAUGAGUCCGCGUACCAUUAGCUAGUUGGUGGGGUAACGGCCUACCAAGGCGACGAUGGUUAGCUGGUCUGAGAGGAUGAUCAGCCACACUGGUACUGAGACACGGACCAGACUCCUACGGGAGGCAGCAGUGAGGAAUAUUGGUCAAUGGGCGAGAGCCUGAACCAGCCAAGUCGCGUGAAGGAAGAAGGAUCUAUGGUUCGUAAACUUCUUUUGCAGGGGAAUAAAGUGGAGGACGUGUCCUCUUUUGUAUGUACCCUGAGAAUAAGGAUCGGCUAACUCCG
rnacentral:rRNA from 1 species